GCCGAUGUAGCUCAGUGGUAGAGCAGCGGUUUCGUAAACCGCAGGUCCGCGGAUCAUACCCGCGCAUCGGCUCCA
rnacentral:tRNA from 1 species